GACAGCACCGGAAACCUGUGUGCUUCGUGGUGUCUAUUGCCCAGCUGGCAACGAUUCCCUUGUGUUUGGUGCAUUAAGUCACACCGAGCUGUGUGGGAUGGGUGAGCACAUUGCCCGACCCUUUUAGCUUUUCUGGCUCACACACAACUUCCUUUCCUUUUGGAUAUGGAAAACAGGGAAGAGAGGGUAGUGUGACAUUAGCACUAAUUUCUAGCAGAUUUUUAACUGCCCCUGAUGCUCGUUCAUUUCUGCAGUGUGGGUUUUCAUGCUGACAAAUCCUCUGCUUUGCCUUCUGCUCACAGUCAGCUGGGCCCUUUAUUGAACAGAUUUAUCUGCUACAAGGCUACGCAGAAGGAUGGAAAGGAGGAACACAGGGGGAAAAAAAACAGCUUCAAGGCCGUCUGAUCUACUCUAGAGACAGACGUGGCUAUCAGAGAACAAGAUCUACUUCUGUGAAGUUGUGGCUCCACAGAAAAGCAGCAUAGAGAAGGUAGCUGGUUUAUUUGUAUGAUAUGUAGCUUUUUUAGGAUGUUUUGUUCUUUAUAGGGCGUUAAUUUCAAAGAGAAGCCUGUGAACUUUGUGUUCCCCUUUAGGGGCUGGUUCUGGGGUAACGAGGAAACACGAGGCCUAAACACCUCUGGCUUGUCUGUCCAAGGAUCUGCCUCAACUGUGGCUCCCAUCCUUCUGAAGACCUCUUCAGCACAACCCGUCUGAGCCUGGUGUUCGCUAAACGCCUCCACGUGGUGGGAGACGAGUCUAGGAAGAAAUACCUUCAAUCCACAGACGAGGCAGAAAGGACUCAGUACAAGGAGGACUGGACACAGAUGAAGGUUAAGAUGGGCACAGCUCUAGGUGGCCCAUAGCUUGGGGUUCAUCUCAGAAGGAGGGACUUCAUUUGGUCACAGAGAAGACGUGCCUUCCCUGCAAGGAGCAGGAAAGAUAAUCCACAGCCUCUCGGAGAGGCAUACACUUGAAAAAGUUUUUUGUAGCCACUGAUGCUGUUGAGAAAGGUAUUUUAUAGGCAUAUUUCAACAUUUUCCUUCCUAAUCCACGAGUAAAGGGAGAUGUUGGGAUUUGAUCCAAAAGAUCUUACAACCGAUUUUGUGGUGAAACAGAGAAAAACCGUGAGCAGCCGACUCAGUGGAAACCUGCAUGUUAAACGCAGAGAAGCACAAAGUGUUUGAUGCUGUUAGAGUUCAAAAUAACAAGGAAAAAUGAUGGGGAAUUUACCCAUACUUGGAACAAAGUAUGACCCCAUCCCAUACUCUCAGCUCCCGCUCCCCUUCCAGCGUGGCUGUGACCCGGGCUGGCCGUACCGCUCGGUGUCUCUGGAUCUCACAGCAUUUCUACGUGGCUGCUGCACCCGGGUCCCCAGUACGUCCUGCUCUGGCCGCCUUCCCCGAGCGGUCCCACGUGCACCAAGCGGGUGCUACAGACCACAGGGGCCUCUUGGCUGCAGAGCUGGGUGAUGGGAGACAACAAAGCAAUGCCCAGGAUGCAGCUGUUCAAGCCAGCCUCGCCUCACGGAGCAUUUCUUUCUCACCUGUCCAUGGUUCUCUCUGUGUGUCUGUGCUCCUUUUUAAACUGCAGGGCUGGGAGGCCUGGCCAUUCCACCGGGACUGCUCACCUUGGGAGCAUCAGUCUCUACCUUGGGAUUAAGCAAGCUGCCACCAGAAUAAAAGCAGGGUGGAGCUGCUCCCACUCCAAGGCAAGAGCCUGCAAGGCCCAUCCUCUGGGGACUCGUCUUUUGUGUGAAGGCACAUUGUCUAGCAGAGGAAGAGGUUGGUACCUGGUGGAGCAGGGCCAAGAUUCCAUUUUCCCCAGGCAGCUCCCCCUGCAUGCUGUAGCGCUGGCCAGGACUGGGAGAGGAGGGGGAGUGUGUUCAGCACUGCUGCUGGAACGGAGUGGCCCUCUCAGGAGGAUCCCGGUUGCUUCAGGGCCUUACUUUUCCACUGGUUUGUGUCCACAAAGGAAAGGCAUGCAGAAGGCAGCACCAUCACCCCAGCCCUGCAGUCAGGAGUCCAUCAGCUUUCCCCACAGUGAACGUGGUUAAGGUCUCCUUAACCAAAGGAAAACUCAGCACCACUACAGAUGUACAGAACAGCAAUUUAUCCACUGGGGCCCUCUGACACACUUUGCCCAUUAUGUGUCCAGAAGACUCCAAGUACUGACUUUACAUGUCCACAAGCGUGGCCAAAGCCACACAUACAGAGCAACACCAAGUUCUCACGGUGUACCAAGAGAACCAAAGAUUUAAUAACAUUAUUUCUUAGACAACUGUUGGGGAUGAAGUCAAAUGUAAAGAAAAAAUGGAAAUGUAAAAAAUCAUGGAUGUUAGUGCACACAGAUACAGAGUUUCUGCUUUUGAGCUCCGCA